AGCGGUAGAGAGAAGCUUGCUUCUCUUGAGAGCGGCGGACGGGUGAGUAAAGCCUAGGAAUCUGCCUGGUAGUGGGGGAUAACGUUCGGAAACGGACGCUAAUACCGCAUACGUCCUACGGGAGAAAGCAGGGGACCUUCGGGCCUUGCGCUAUCAGAUGAGCCUAGGUCGGAUUAGCUAGUUGGUGAGGUAAUGGCUCACCAAGGCGACGAUCCGUAACUGGUCUGAGAGGAUGAUCAGUCACACUGGAACUGAGACACGGUCCAGACUCCUACGGGAGGCAGCAGUGGGGAAUAUUGGACAAUGGGCGAAAGCCUGAUCCAGCCAUGCCGCGUGUGUGAAGAAGGUCUUCGGAUUGUAAAGCACUUUAAGUUGGGAGGAAGGGCAUUAACCUAAUACGUUAGUGUUUUGACGUUACCGACAGAAUAAGCACCGGCUAACUCUGUGCCAGCAGCCGCGGUAAUACAGAGGGUGCAAGCGUUAAUCGGAAUUACUGGGCGUAAAGCGCGCGUAGGUGGUUUG
rnacentral:rRNA from 1 species